rnacentral:rRNA from 1 species
UAAUACGGAGGGUGCAAGCGUUAUCCGGAUUACCUGGGUUUAAAGGGUGCGUAGGAGGGCAGGUAAGUCAGUGGUGAAAUCUCCGGGCUUAACUCGGAAACUGCCGUUGAUACUAUCUGCCUUGAAUACCGUGGAGGUGAGCGGAAUAUGUCAUGUAGCGGUGAAAUGCUUAGAUAUGACAUAGAACACCAAUUGCGAAGGCAGCUCACUACACGAAUAUUGACUCUGAGGCACGAAAGCGUGGGGAUCAAACAGGAUUAGAUACCCUGGUAGUCCACGCCCUAAACGAUGGAUACUCGACAUACGCGAUACACAGUGUGUGUCUGAGCGAAAGCAUUAAGUAUCCCACCUGGGAAGUACGACCGCAAGGUU